GUUUGUAACAUCUGAGGCCGAAGCAGCCGAAGGAGCGGCGUCAUUCACUCACACCGUCUUCUCUGCCUUCAGUUGACUUGAUUCUUUAGGUCCAGGCUCACGUUGGGUCAGAGCUGAAUUGAGGUUUGAAAGUGUGGCCUUAUUUGAUCAACUCAGUCCAUUUAAACUUUUUUUGUUGCUCAAAACUUUGCGAAUGUUCUGCAACUUUUUUUAAAUUGCUUCGUGUGCUUCGGUUUUAUAUAUCACACGAGCACUUCCGGUACGUGCGUGUCACGUGACCUGGCGUAAAAACGCAACAGGUGAUCGGAGUGACGCGGUUUCACGCACAGUGGCGUAAAUCAAACGCACCUUGCGUAGACCCGCGGCCUGUUUAAACGCUCGUCGCCUUCUCUGCGCGUUUGGCGUCGCGUCGAGACGGAUCCAUUCAGUUUCUCCAGUUUUAUUUUAAUGGAUGAGUCAACGCAGACGCCGCAGAUCCGCGUCUGGCCUCAGAAGCCGCACCCACCAGAACCGGGCCUCACCCCGGUGUCGAUGCUGUUUGGCUGCAGAGCGGAGAAAGCUGAGCGGCUGCAGAGGAAGCAGGGCACAUAUGGACGAGCGCUCGUAACGAACGCCUUCGCGCUCCACAUGAAACAGAACGACGCCGUGGAGCUGAGCCCACGCGCUGCACGGGGGGUGCGGCGUGGGCUCUGCGCUGGCUUCAGUCAGAGGAAGCCGACCCGCUGCACCGGAUCAGAACCACCGUCGUAGCUGCUUCAUUCAGCUAAAGGGAACAGCGGGAAACACAUGAAGCCUGUUCUCAUCCUGUUUGUCUUCUUCCACAGAUGCAGUUUUCACCAGACACCGGUUCUCAUACAAUGAGAUGCUGCAUUAAGUCCUUUAGGUAAAUGGAGCCCACGCUCUGAUUAUCCUCAGAUUUACUUCUGGGGCUUUGAGAACUCGGGUCUAUACGUACUGCACAUGGUGAAGGCGAACAGAAUGCGGUUUACGGGAAACGCUGCAAACCGUCUCUUUAAGCCCGAGGCUCCGGUUCCAGCAGCUCAAAGAAACACCAUUAAAUCCUGAGGUGAGCUUUGAACUGGGGCAAAAUGGGCUCAUUGGAGAAAACGGAGCCUCGCGUACAUUUACUGAAAAUCAAUCUGCAGCCUGUUCCCAUCGUGCAAAACGAUGAAGGGGAACAGAGGCCGACUGCAAAAUGAUUCUAGGGAACCAGUCUCAGGUUUGAUUCAUGAAGCUUCAAUAUGAAGGUGAGGCGUCGCUGAGCGUCUCCCUGUGGAUCGGCCAGUAUCUGCUUGGACCUGUGACUUCUUGACUGAUCAACGGGACAAAGGAGCUGCUGCUCGUUCUCGCUGCCAAUUAGCGCCAUGAUGCCCGUUAGUUUCCCUCCAGCUCCUGUAAUUGGAUCUCAAUUGGAAAACAUGGCGCCCGUUUCUCUUCCUCCUCUGCUUCCAACUGAGCGCGGAUCCGUUGUUUAUACAGCGGUUUAGCGGCUUUGCACCACUUUACUGGGAUUUGCUGAAUUCAUGUCGUGCUGCAGCUGUUGGAGUUGCUAGAGUGUAAAAUUGCUCAGAGUGGAUUAGUUUGCACCGGACACCUCAUUAAACUCUGCACUAGCUCACCUCUGAAUAUGAUUCUCCUACAAGACGGAUGGAAGUAACACAAAUGAAGUGGAUUUAAAGAAACAAAGACCGCAGGAAUCCGCUGGAUCAGUACAGGUCCUGUUUGUUUGGACGCUGCUCUCGUCAGCCGCCUGUGGAGCCUUUAGGAGAGGGGACGUUCUGCUUCCAGGCUCUGGCAGAUCAGCUCCCGUUCCUCAAACUUCCUCUAAGUCUCACACUGACUCCUCGCUGAGCAGAGCUCUGCAGGAAGCGCAUCCACGUAACAAUGGGGACCUGCUCACCAAAGGCAGCCUUUUGUAAUGAAGAGGAUCGGGAGCCAUGAAUAACUGCCGUGACUGAUGGUGUGGGUGCAGAGUUGAUCUGCAGGAGUUGGAGCGCGUCUGUUAUUUUGCCCGCGCUUUAUUUCCUCUCCUCUACGAAUAAUAUUAAACCCUCAGUGUCUCUGCAGACGUCUGGCCGCUCGUUCUUUGUCACCGUUUGUUCUGCUCUGAUAAAAGUCUGUGUCCCGGUUGCUUUGCAGAGCGCUGAUAGCGCAGCGAGACCGAGCAACAAUUAUAUUUGCAUAUUAUUCUCACGGUGGAGAGUGCAGAUACAAAUAAUUAGUUUAAUCGCCUUUCUUUUCUUGCCUGUGCAGAAAUGCUGAGCCUCCUUUUUGCCGGGAUGAAGAUUCUGGUGGUUUAAGCUGCGACAGCUCUGCGAUUGUCAGACUCUUCAUCACGUCUCUACUUCUUCACCUUCCCUUGUUUAACGCGUCACCUGCUGGUCUUCUGUCGCUCCGGCCGUCUCCCGUCUAUUCUCGGUCGUCUUCUCUCGUGUUGUAGAGUUUUUCUACUUGCUGAGUGAACACGUUUUGCAGCACGCGUUCUCCUGCUUUUACGGUUCCUCCCUCAUCACCUUUUGUUCGUCUCGAUGAACUCCUUCAUUGUCCGACUCACGAGGAGUGAUGUAAUCUUAAGUCAUAAAGUGCCAGUGAACCAUUUAGUUCUAUUAUAUCAUUAACUUUUUUAAUGUUUAGUUAUUUGAAGCGGUGAUUAAGACCUAAUUUGAUUCAUUUUUUAUUCUAAAUGACACAAAAGCAGCAGAGAUUUCAGGCUUCUAGAUGUGUCUGACAUCUGAAGCAUACUGAAUGACUUCGCAGGAAUUAUUGAUGGCCUCAUAAAAUGCCUCCCACUGAUAUUUUGCAGCAUAACCCAGAUGAAGGGGGACUUUGAGACCGCGCCACUGGUUCAUUCAGCUGUUUUCAUGUAUCAGUAGCGUGUAGUUGGCUGUGGACCGACAUCAAAAACAGGAAAAAAAGCAUCAUUAGACAGAGAAAAAGUUGGUUUAUUAGAUAUUGGACAUUUUGAGCCUGUUGGAUGAUGCGCGAUAGAGGCAGACGCUGUGUCUUUUAUUUGUAGUUUGUGUGUGUGUGACCCGCUGUGAUCAGAUCCCUUUACGUUUGGGCAUAAACCAAACAGAAUCUGUGGCAAUGUUUGAAGAUGUUUCCCGAGGUCAGUGUUUGGUCAGAGCAGGGAGCUGAUGGGGGAUGGACGGACUGUCGCACUGUGUUAGCGAGAGAAUGGGCUCCAAGUGGUCGGAAGGAAAAAAGAAAAGGAGCGGAAAAUGAACAAGCCGAGUGUCGACUGAUUGUACAUUUCUCAAAGCAGAAUGUCUGGACCGUCGCCGCGUUCUGUUCCAUCCACGAUGCGUCACUGGCUAAAAAUUGGCCAUGACUUUAAAAAUAGCAGCGUCAGUGAGCAUCAGCUUCAACCCAGCAACCUCGCGACCUUAAAGUAAUCUGUGGAAGGAGGCUCUCUGGAGAUAAACAGCACUCUGUGGAGCUCCGAACAGGCAGCGCUUUAACAGGACGAGCCUCCGCCGGCCGUGAACGGAGCCAAGGUCCGAACGUCUGCGUUCAUUCAUUCCACAGUCAGAGCCCAGAUGUUUGUGUAGCUUUAGGAUACUGGUGGAAUGUCCGUUUGCAGAUGAUGAUUGGAUCAGGUGCGUUUCCUGCACGGAUUCCUCCUUUUUCUCAAGCAGUGACGUCGUGUAUGGGAACGUUUUGACAGGAAUCCUGCAGCGUAUGGAAAGUUUGCAUCAGUGAGUGUGAUGCUAAAUGUGAGAACAGUGUCAUCAUCCAAAGCCACAUUCGUAUUUGUUUUUGCUAAAAAGAUGUUGAGGCUGCAAGUCUUCCCAUUCUCUGCUAAAUCAUUUUUACACCUGUGAUUCGGGUUAAAACAAUAAUUGUUUGUUUCUUCCUCAUUUACUCUAAUGCAUAAUUAAAUGGAACCAGUCUACUGA